rnacentral:tRNA from 1 species
GGGGCCGUAGCUCAACUGGGAGAGCGCGUCGUUCGCAAUGACGAGGUCGUCGGUUCGAUCCCGAUCGGCUCCACCA